GUGCAAUGGCAUAAGCCAGCUUGACUGCGAGCGUGACGGCGCGAGCAGGUGCGAAAGCAGGUCAUAGUGAUCCGGUGGUUCUGAAUGGAAGGGCCAUCGCUCAACGGAUAAAAGGUACUCCGGGGAUAACAGGCUGAUACCGCCCAAGAGUUCAUAUCGACGGCGGUGUUUGGCACCUCGAUGUCGGCUCAUCACAUCCUGGGGCUGAAGUAGGUCCCAAGGGUAUGGCUGUUCGCCAUUUAAAGUGGUACGCGAGCUGGGUUUAGAACGUCGUGAGACAGUUCGGUCCCUAUCUGCCGUGGGCGCUGGAGAACUGAGGGGGGCUGCUCCUAGUACGAGAGGACCGGAGUGGACGCAUCACUGGUGUUCGGGUUGUCAUGCCAAUGGCACUGCCCGGUAGCUAAAUGCGGAAGAGAUAAGUGCUGAAAGCAUCUAAGCACGAAACUUGCCCCGAGAUGAGUUCUCCCUGACUCCUUGAGAGUCCUGAAGGAACGUUGAAGACGACGACGUUGAUAGGCCGGGUGUGUAAGCGCAGCGAUGCGUUGAGCUAACCGGUACUAAUGAACCGUGAGG
rnacentral:rRNA from 1 species